rnacentral:lncRNA from 1 species
AAUUAUAAUGAGCAUGAAGUUAGUAAGAGGUGGACAUUUGAAGAAGGUAUUAAAAGACCUUAUUUUCAUGUGAAACCACUGGAAAAGGCUCAGCUAAAAAACUGGAAAGAAUACUUAGAAUUUGAAAUUGAAAAUGGGACUCAUGAAAGAGUCGUGGUUCUCUUUGAAAGAUGUGUCAUAUCUUGUGCCCUCUAUGAGGAGUUUUGGAUUAAGGUAAGAAAACUAUAUAGUGUGUUUAACUUGAAUACAUUAUAACAUUGAUCUAGUGACUAACCUUUUUUGUACUUCUGUUGAAUGUUGUUCAUAUAACUAUAUCUGUUGCAUUAGGAGAUGGUCUGCUUGCAACCAGAUUUGACUGCUGCAUAUGCCAACCUCGUUGCCUCUCUUCGUCCUUCCUUACAGAAACUAGUCUAGUGGUUCAAUAAAGGUGCUGAAUGGGUUUAAAAAUAGAAUUUUAUCGUUCUGUCACAUAUUUAAUCCAUCACGUGUUCAACUGUAAAUUAUUCAGUAUUUCCUGUUUUCUGUAUGUAGUAUGCCAAGUACAUGGAAAACCACAGCAUUGAAGGAGUGAGGCAUGUCUUCAGCAGAGCCUGUACUGUUCAUCUCCCAAAGAAGCCCAUGGCGCACAUGCUGUGGGCAGCUUUUGAGGAACAACAGGGGAAUAUUAAUGAAGCCAGGAUUAUCUUGAGAACGUUUGAAGAAUGUGUUCUAGGAUUGGCAAUGGUUCGAUUGCGAAGAGUUAGUUUAGAACGACGGCAUGGAAAUAUGGAAGAAGCUGAACAUUUGCUUCAAGACGCUAUAAGGAAUGCCAAAUCAAAUAAUGAGUCAUCAUUUUAUGCUAUCAAACUAGCCCGACAUCUUUUCAAAAUACAGAAA